AUCUUUGUGGAGUAAUGCAACUCGCUCCCACCUGUUAUAUGGGCGCAGUUACGGGAGAGCCGGUGGUUCAAAUCCACCCAAAGACA